AGUGAACGCUGGCGGUAGGCCUAACACAUGCAAGUCGAACGGCAGCACAGUAAGAGCUUGCUCUUACGGGUGGCGAGUGGCGGACGGGUGAGGAAUACAUCGGAAUCUACUUUUUCGUGGGGGAUAACGUAGGGAAACUUACGCUAAUACCGCAUACGACCUACGGGUGAAAGCAGGGGAUCUUCGGACCUUGCGCGAUUGAAUGAGCCGAUGUCGGAUUAGCUAGUUGGCGGGGUAAAGGCCCACCAAGGCGACGAUCCGUAGCUGGUCUGAGAGGAUGAUCAGCCACACUGGAACUGAGACACGGUCCAGACUCCUACGGGAGGCAGCAGUGGGGAAUAUUGGACGAUGGGCGGAAGCCUGAUCCAGCCAUACCGCGUGGGUGAAGAAGGCCUUCGGGUUGUAAAGCCCUUUUGUUGGGAAAGAAAAGCAGCAGGUUAAUACCCCGCUGUUCUGACGGUACCCAAAGAAUAAGCACCGGCUAACUUCGUG
rnacentral:rRNA from 1 species